rnacentral:rRNA from 1 species
GAGGGCAAGUCUGGUGCCAGCAGCCGCGGUAAUUCCAGCUCCAAUAGCGUAUAUUAAAAUUGUUGCAGUUAAAAAGCUCGUAGUUGAAUUUCUGCUGCAUCGCCUUUGCUCCCUUACGAGUUUUGGCAUUGCGGCUUAUUUCGGAUUUGCUUGCAUUUCCGAAUGUUUACUUUGAGAAAAUUAGAGUGCUCAAAGCAGGCUUUUGCCUUGAAUAGUUUAGCAUGGAAUAAUGAAGUAGGACUUUGGUUCUAUUUUGUUGGUUUUAGGUUCCAAAGUAAUGGUUAAUAGGAACAGUUGGGGGCAUUCGUAUUUAACUGUCAGAGGUGAAAUUCUUAGAUUUGUUAAAGACGAACUACUGCGAAAGCAUUUGCCAAGGAUGUUUUCAUUAAUCAAGAACGAAAGUUAGGGGAUCGAAGACGAUCAGAUACCGUCGUAGUCCUAACCAUAAACUAUGCCGACUAGAGAUUGGAGGUCGUCAGUUUUUACGACUCCUUCAGCACCUUGAGAG